UACGUAGGGUGCGAGCGUUAAUCGGAAUUACUGGGCGUAAAGCGUGCGUAGACGGUUAUGUAAGUCGGAUGUGAAAGCCCCGGGCUCAACCUGGGAAUUGCAUUCGAGACUGCAUGGCUAGGAUGCGGAAGAGGGAAGCGGAAUUUCCGGUGUAGCGGUGAAAUGCGUAGAUAUCGGAAGGAACACCAGUGGCGAAAGCGGCUUCCUGGUCCAGCAUCGACGUUCAGGCACGAAAGCGUGGGGAGCAAACAGG
rnacentral:rRNA from 1 species